UCCCUGAUAGUUCAGUUGGUAAACAAUCUGCCUGCAAUGCAGGAGACUCUGGUUCGAUUCCUGAGUUGGGAC
rfam:Ovis aries breed Texel chromosome 18, whole genome shotgun sequence.